rnacentral:tRNA from 1 species
GGCGCGUUGGCGGAGUGGUUACGCGAAGGUCUGCAAAACCUUAGACACGAGUUCGAACCUCGUACGCGCCUCCA